AGGAUCACUUAAUAAGAUUCUGGUAUAUUCAAAUUUUCUUGCUUUAUGCAUGAACCUAUCAUCAAGAUUUGGAUCUCUUAUAUGUGAAUGUGUUGCUGUAGAUUUGUUGGUGUUGAUUUCCAGUAAGAGAAAAUGUACUAUUGUUCUCAUCAAUUUCUUUCAUACCAUGUGUAAUUGGGUUGGAAAAGGUGAUAAACAUCUAACCAUUCUUGCUUGAUGCUUCACUGGAAGCAAUUUCGAGUUCGUCCAGGUUCUGAAUAUUUCUUCUGUUUCCAGAUAGGCCCAAUCUUCCUCGACGAGGGGUUGUGAUGGCGGGCACAGCGUUGCUGGAUGACGCUGAGAGUAUAGUGGGUGGGUUCAAGUACAUCCCUCUGUGCCAGCAUGCAGCGGGUCUGCGGACAGGGAGAGCCAGGAAGAGAAUGUAGUCCGCGGCAGCCGAGCGGGAAGGGGGGCAGCUUGCCGUGAUUGAAGAACAUGACGACCAUGCUGAUACAAGGUCAGUGAUGUAGACAGGGAAGAUGGACCCUCAUGCCCCUGGGUGGACGAAGAGAUUGUGCAGGAUUUGGGUAGGGAGCCAUCCACCGGAAAGGACCCCGUGUUCGGAGAAGGUUUGCGCACUUGAAAAGACGAUUAGUAUGUGAAGAAGUGCACCUUCACAUAUCUGAAUAUUGAUACCCUUCCUAAUCCUUAGUUUUGGGCCUUGUUCAGCAUAUACAGAUAUACUACCAUCUUAGAGAAAUAUGUUGUUUAAAGAUGAAGAGGUGGAUAAGUUUCUGGCUUUAGUUACUGAAUAUCCAGAUCCGGUUUGCUUCUCAGCCAUGGCCUACAUUUAGAGAAGACAUGUUUAUAUGUAAGAGCUUUAAGGUCAAUUACCUCCCCAUGUUGUAAUGCUCAUCAUCUUAAUUCGGACAUUGUUAUAUAUAUGCACCAUGGUUCAUGACUGUACUUUUUUCA